GCCCACAAAUCAGGUUGUACUUUACUGGCCAAUACUUGCAUCUGGAUAGAUGUAGGAUUGUUCUGAUCAUCUCUAUUUGAGGGUUUUGGCUGAAAAACAUCAGGUGCUUGCGGUGAAAUGUUGAUGCGAGGAAAAUGCAAAACUCACCUUUAUCUGGGCACCUCUGAUAGUUCCCGUACUUUAACAGUAUCUGCAAGAAGCUUUCUAAAACAUCUUGAUGACAGUCUAUAGUAUUUGGUGAUAGCAGCAUAUAGGACUGCGAAGCAGCAGUCCUGAUCAUUGUCAGUUUAAAAGAGGACUUAACAAGACGGACGAGAAAACCGACAUCAUUUCAUAUAUAUCGUACCUUAUGUGCAUUUAACCGCCUGUCUGUCUGUUUCCACUGGCUGUGAACAAAUGCCGAAAUUCAAUAAAUGUUGUGUGGGUCACUACUCUCAUUAAUUUCACGGAA
rnacentral:lncRNA from 1 species